GAUGAACGCUGGCGGCGUGCCUAAUACAUGCAAGUCGAGCGAAUAGGUGCUGAUCUUUGUGCUCUGACGUAGUCGGCGACCGGGUGAUUACCCGUUGGUUAACCGCCCUUUAAGACUGGGUUAACUCCUGGAAACCUGAGCUAAUAGCGGUGAAUUUAUUGUACCGCAUGGUUCAGCAGUGAAAGAUGGUUUUUCUUUGAGUUAUAGAUGGAUCCGCGCCGCAUUAGCUAGUUGGUAAGGUAGCGGCUUACCCAGGCAACGGUGCGUAGCCGACCUGAGCGGGUGAUCGGCCGCACUGGAACUGCGACACGGUCCAGACUCCUACGGGAGGCAGCAGUAGGGAAUCUUCCGGAAUGGGCGAAGGCCUGAUGGAGCAGCGCCGCGUGAGUGAUGAAGGUCUUCGGAUCGUAAAGAUCUUUUAUUAGGGAAGAACAAAUGUGUAAGUAACUAUGCACGUCUUGACGGUACCUAAUCAGAAAGCCACGGCUAACUACGUG
rnacentral:rRNA from 1 species